GAGACGUUAGCUCAGCUGGUAGAGCAUCGCCCUUUUAAGGCGUGGGUCCCGGGUUCGAAUCCCGGACGUCUCA
rnacentral:tRNA from 1 species